ACUGAGGGGGAAAAGUUUUGUUCGCCCCAGAAAGAAAUUUUAAAAAAAAAGAUAAAGAAAAGCAAAUUGACGAAUGCAUCGAUCACUGCUGUGUGGCGUCUGUUGCUUAAAGCAAAUUCAGACGGUUGCGUGGUGAAAAUAUUAAGCAGAAACCACUCGGCCAAAAGCCUUGUGUGAGAGGAAGAGGACCAGGCAUCGUCAGUUAAGGCUAUUCGGUCAGGUUUUUUUUCUGAUUGGACAAAAAAGAAAGAUCAUCAGAUUGGAUUCAACGAUGGCGAGCUAACCCAGAGUGAUUUGAAGAACCAAGAACAUCGGAAAAUUCUGGAAUAACAGACGGACUGUCUGUGUGGUAGGAUUGUAUCAGUCAUCGGACUGAUUCCUACAUUUUUUUCUUCCAAAGAGUGCACUCCAACAAACAUUGGGAAAAACUAUUGCAAUAGAAAAACUGAGACUGAAUGGCGUACCGCACGCAGGCUAUUUUUAGACCGUGACGUCGCAUCGUAAAGCGGAAGUAAAGCCGAAGUGGGACAUUAUAGACCCGCCCUCGCAUAGACCCCACGUAAAAAGUGCUACUUUUCGCCGGUAAUCUUUCAAAAACGAACAUGGCGAUCACGCAUUGCUUUUUUGGAACUUGUAGAAACGACUCUAGACAUUACGACCAUGAAGGAUGUUUUCUUCAUACCUUCCCGGAAACCAAAAACUCGGGAGGAAAAAAUGUGAAAACCGAAUCAACAUGCGCGGACUUUAACACCAGCUCGGCGAAUCCAUUCACGUUUCAUAUGCAGUAAACAUUAUGUUGGGUUGGCAUGGUCUUUCAGAGGACAAAGAGGUAAGCCAUUUUUAUAUUUUUACUUUAUUUUUUUUAGCGUAACGUUGUGCCGUACUGCUUCUGUCUGACAAUGAAUGACCUGAAAAAACUACAAUGGUGUCUGACUGCCACUGUUACCGUUUCUGUUAUAUAUAUAUAUAUAUAUAUAAAUUAAAAAAAAAACUUUAGUAAGGGGGAAGUGUAAA